rnacentral:rRNA from 1 species
AAGCUGGUUUCGUAAAAUGUUGGGUAAGUCCCGCAACGAGCGCAACCCUUGUCCUUAGUUGCCAGCCUUAAGUUGGGCACUCUAAGGAGACUGCCGGUGACAACCCGGAGAAGGUGGGGACGACGUCAAGUCAUCAUGGCCCUUACGUGUAGGGUACACACGUGCUACAAUGGCAUUUACAGAGGGAAGCGAGACAGUGAUGUGGAGCGGACCCCUUAAAGAAUGUCGUAGUCCGGAUUGGAGUCUGCAACUCGACUCCAUGAAGUCGGAAUCGCUAGUAAUCGCAGGUCAGAAUACUGCGGUGAAUACGUUCCCGGGCCUUGUACACACCGCCCGUCACACCAUGGGAGUGGGAUGCAAAAGAAGUAGUUAGUCUAACCUUCGGGAGGACGAUUACCACUUUGUGUUUCAUGACUGGGGUGAAGUCGUAACAAGGUAACC